ACUGAGUUUAUGUGUGUACUUGACGGCGAUCAGAGCAACGAUCUAGCACCAUAUAAAUUCAGUGU
rnacentral:pre_miRNA from 1 species